rnacentral:rRNA from 1 species
GACUGCGGAAGGAUCAUUACAAGUGAGGCUACCGAACGUUGGAAACAGCGGUUAGGAGCUUACACCCACCCGUGUUUACAUACUAUUGUUGCUUUGGCGGGCCGUGGCCUCCACUGCGGGCUCUGCUCGUGUGUGCCCGCCAGAGAACCAAACUCUGAAUGUUAGUGAUGUCUGAGUACUAUCUAAUAGUUAAAACUUUCAACAACGGAUCUCUUGGUUCUGGCAUCGAUGAAGAACGCAGCGAAAUGCGAUAAGUAAUGUGAAUUGCAGAAUUCAGUGAAUCAUCGAAUCUUUGAACGCACAUUGCGCCCUGUGGUAUUCCGCAGGGCAUGCCUGUUCGAGCGUCAUUUAACCACUCACGCCUAGCGUGGUAUUGGGGCACGCGGUCUCCGCGGCCCUCAAAAUUAGUGGCGGCGCCGGUGGGCUCUAAGCGUAGUACAUACUCCCGCUAUAGAGUUCCCCCGGUGGCUCGCCAGAACCCCCAAUUUUUACAGGUUGACCUCGGAUCAGGUAGGGAUACCCGCUGAACUUAAGCAUAUCAAUAAGCGGAGGAAAAGAAACCAACAGGGAUUACCUCAGUAACGGCGAGUGAAGCGGUAACAGCUCAAAUUUGAAAGCUGCCAACAGGCCGCGUUGUAAUUUGUAGAAGCUG